AGCUCAUGGUGAGUGCACCUUCUCAAGAGGUCCUUGUAUCUCUCCCAUGCAUCAUAGAGUGUUUAUAGAUUCGUUUGCACAAAAGAAGAGAUAUCAUUCCUUAAUUU
rfam:Gossypium hirsutum cultivar TM-1 chromosome 9, whole genome shotgun sequence